GGAAUCUGGGAGGACCAUCUCCUAAGGCUAAAUACUCUCUAGUGACCGAUAGUGAACCAGUACCGUGAGGGAAAGGUGAAAAGCACCCCGGAAGGGGAGUGAAAUAGAACCUGAAACCGUGUGCUUACAAGUAGUCAGAGCCCGUUAAUGGGUGAUGGCGUGCCUUUUGUAGAAUGAACCGGCGAGUUACGAUUUGAUGCAAGGUUAAGCAGUAAAUGUGGAGCCGUAGCGAAAGCGAGUCUGAAUAGGGCGUUUAGUAUUUGGUCGUAGACCCGAAACCAGGUGAUCUACCCUUGGUCAGGUUGAAGUUCAGGUAACACUGAAUGGAGGACCGAACCGACUUACGUUGAAAAGUGAGCGGAUGAACUGAGGGUAGCGGAGAAAUUCCAAUCGAACCUGGAGAUAGCUGGUUCUCUCCGAAAUAGCUUUAGGGCUAGCCUCAAGUGAUGAUUAUUGGAGGUAGAGCACUGUUUGGACGAGGGGCCCCUCUCGGGUUACCGAAUUCAGACAAACUCCGAAUGCCAAUUAAUUUAACUUGGGAGUCAGAACAUGGGUGAUAAGGUCCGUGUUCGAAAGGGAAACAGCCCAGACCACCAGCUAAGGUCCCAAAAUAUAUGUUAAGUGGAAAAGGAUGUGGCGUUGCCCAGACAACUAGGAUGUUGGCUUAGAAGCAGCCAUCAUUUAAAGAGUGCGUAAUAGCUCACUAGUCGAGUGACACUGCGCCGAAAAUGUACCGGGGCUAAACAUAUUACCGAAGCUGUGGAUUGUCCUUUGGACAAUGGUAGGAGAGCGUUCUAAGGGCGUUGAAGCAUGAUCGUAAGGACAUGUGGAGCGCUUAGAAGUGAGAAUGCCGGUGUGAGUAGCGAAAGACGGGUGAGAAUCCCGUCCACCGAUUGACUAAGGUUUCCAGAGGAAGGCUCGUCCGCUCUGGGUUAGUCGGGUCCUAAGCUGAGGCCGACAGGCGUAGGCGAUGGAUAACAGGUUGAUAUUCCUGUACCACCUAUAAUCGUUUUAAUCGAUGGGGGGACGCAGUAGGAUAGGCGAAGCGUGCGAUUGGAUUGCACGUCUAAGCAGUAAGGCUGAGUAUUAGGCAAAUCCGGUACUCGUUAAGGCUGAGCUGUGAUGGGGAGAAGACAUUGUGUCUUCGAGUCGUUGAUUUCACACUGCCGAGAAAAGCCUCUAGAUAGAAAAUAGGUGCCCGUACCGCAAACCGACACAGGUAGUCAAGAUGAGAAUUCUAAGGUGAGCGAGCGAACUCUCGUUAAGGAACUCGGCAAAAUGACCCCGUAACUUCGGGAGAAGGGGUGCUCUUUAGGGUUAACGCCCAGAAGAGCCGCAGUGAAUAGGCCCAAGCGACUGUUUAUCAAAAACACAGGUCUCUGCUAAACCGUAAGGUGAUGUAUAGGGGCUGACGCCUGCCCGGUGCUGGAAGGUUAAGAGGAGUGGUUAGCUUCUGCGAAGCUACGAAUCGAAGCCCCAGUAAACGGCGGCCGUAACUAUAACGGUCCUAAGGUAGCGAAAUUCCUUGUCGGGUAAGUUCCGACCCGCACGAAAGGCGUAACGAUUUGGGCACUGUCUCAACGAGAGACUCGGUGAAAUCAUAGUACCUGUGAAGAUGCAGGUUACCCGCGACAGGACGGAAAGACCCCGUGGAGCUUUACUGUAGCCUGAUAUUGAAAUUCGGCACAGCUUGUACAGGAUAGGUAGGAGCCUUUGAAACGUGAGCGCUAGCUUACGUGGAGGCGCUGGUGGGAUACUACCCUAGCUGUGUUGGCUUUCUAACCCGCACCACUUAUCGUGGUGGGAGACAGUGUCAGGCGGGCAGUUUGACUGGGGCGGUCGCCUCCUAAAAGGUAACGGAGGCGCUCAAAGGUUCCCUCAGAAUGGUUGGAAAUCAUUCAUAGAGUGUAAAGGCAUAAGGGAGCUUGACUGCGAGACCUACAAGUCGAGCAGGGUCGAAAGACGGACUUAGUGAUCCGGUGGUUCCGCAUGGAAGGGCCAUCGCUCAACGGAUAAAAGCUACCCCGGGGAUAACAGGCUUAUCUCCCCCAAGAGUUCACAUCGACGGGGAGGUUUGGCACCUCGAUGUCGGCUCAUCGCAUCCUGGGGCUGUAGUCGGUCCCAAGGGUUGGGCUGUUCGCCCAUUAAAGCGGUACGCGAGCUGGGUUCAGAACGUCGUGAGACAGUUCGGUCCCUAUCCGUCGUGGGCGUAGGAAAUUUGAGAGGAGCUGUCCUUAGUACGAGAGGACCGGGAUGGACAUACCUCUGGUGUACCAGUUGUCGUGCCAACGGCAUAGCUGGGUAGCUAUGUGUGGACGGGAUAAGUGCUGAAAGCAUCUAAGCAUGAAGCCCCCCUCAAGAUGAGAUUUCCCAACUUCGGUUAUAAGAUCCCUCAAAGAUGAUGAGGUUAAUAGGUUCGAGGUGGAAGCAUGGUGACAUGUGGAGCUGACGAAUACUAAUCGAUCGAAGACUUAAUCAA
rnacentral:rRNA from 56 species